CUUCACCUGCUAACACCCUUUUUAACCUCUCACAAAAUAGUCGGAGGUGGACGUCCAGCAUAUCUCCUUCUGUCUGUAGCGCCCAGAGGUAUUGUUAUUUGCUACAAGAAAUGUUAAAACAUAGAGUAAUGAUACAGCCACAAACUCUUGUACAAACUUAUUUUGUACAAACUAAAAUGGCAUUAAUUCAUUGGUUGAAUGAAAAUAUAAAAUAAUAAAAACAAAUCAUGUGGGCCAAGUGAUAUUUAAUUCAACCAAUCUUAUCAUGCCACGUCAAUUUGUACAAAAUAAGUUUGUACAAGAGUUUGUGGCUAUAUCAUUACUCUAAAACAUAUCUCCUUCUGUCCUAUCUCAAAGUGGUUAGUGGUGUAAAAUUAAACACCAUGGAAGAAUUUGCAAGGAAUAUGCCAAGAAACUGGCCAACCCGCUUAGCUAAAUUCCACAAAUAUGACGUUAUUGCUCAUUUUUCUCUCAAACACAUAAUACACGUUCUUCGAGGCGCGUGCCUUCUGAAAAGGACAGGUAUCCAACCUCAUCUUAAUUUAAAGAAUUUUCCUUUAAAAAAAAUUUAAUAUCAAAAUGCCUUCAAUGUUAUUACUGCCGAAAGCCAAACUUCCUUUGGGUAAUUAAUUUAGAAGUUAAGCAGAGAAUAAAGUCCUAGAUUAAAUGUUUAGGUAGUUUUACAAAAUGAUAACAGCAUGCCAAAACUCGUUGUUGUCAUAUUCGACAUUUCAAAUUGAAAAAUAUGCAAGCAAUCUUCAGUGAACAUUACAUGUUUAUUGAAUAAUUUAAAUGGCCAGUAAAUCAACAGUCCGUGAGUUUUAAAUCUAUUAUGACUUAAUGUAUCUUUCUGUAUUCGUACACAGGUUAUAUUAUCAUAGUUUAAAAUUAUUUUAAAUAUUAAAAAUACUUUAAUGCUAUUAGUCUACUACACAGGUUAUAUUAUUUAUAUUAUAUUUGUAUUAAUUAAAACUUUUAAUGUCAAUUUUCUAAUUAUUAUAUUAAAAAAGUAUUAUGGUUAAGAAAAAGUUUUGGCAUUUCUUCUUGAAAAUUUGAGAGUCUGCAUGAAAAUUUUUCCAAAUUCUAAAGGUAUAGGUUUGAAAAUUUAACGUUCUGUAAAUUAAUGAAACAAAAGGGGGGAAACCAAAAACUAUUCAAUUUUGUAUUUUUUGUUUGUAAUUCAAAAAAUACAUCCACCAAACAAGUUUUACGCAUUAAUGCUGUCAUAAAACGAAAAACAGUUUGCCAAAAAAUGGUACCAAACAUUUCCUUAAUGUCUCACAUGAUUUCUUAGUAAGUCCAUAUUAGAUAUAUUUAUACAUUUUAUGUAUUUUAGUUAUAAAAGAAGUAGGUCCUCCCCCUGUUUAUAAAAAAUAACUUUAUUUCGAGAUUGCCACUAAACUCUUACAUAGAAUUAGUGUAAUGUUAAGAGAGAGUAACACAGUUUUCCAUUACCAUCUUUGAAAAUAGAGAGAUAUGGAUGCAUGCAUUUAAGAGUUAUCAUGAAAAUCAUACAAUUCAAUUUCCUGACAUAUAUAUUUAUGCACGUAUACCAAAAGAAUAAAUAGACAGAAAGUAAAUUUACAGUCCUCACUUCCUCACAAUUGUUAACGUGAAGAUGCAUUACAACUGUGAACUGUCACUACUUUAGCCUUUUUUUUUAAAAAAAAAAAAUUAUAGUGUGAUGGAGACAUCAAGGAUGAGCAUAAAAGUUAAAGAUGACUCAUUUUCUUUUUAAAGUGCUCUGCUGAAAGCCAAACUUCCUUUGGCUAAUUAAUUUAGAAGUAAAGCAGAGAAUAAAGUUCUAGAUGCCUUCUGAAAUUAGAAAUACAUUUUAUAUGCUUUAAUUAUGAUUAUUUGGUAGACUAUUGACCUAAAAGACAUGUUAAAUUAUAAAACAGUGCGAUUAAAAAAAAGAGAGUAUUUGUGACGUAGAAUAACAAUUGGUAAAUAAAUCCUAAAUAUUUGAGUUGUUAAAAGCAAAUAUAACAGAGACGGUAAGAGAGAUGCAGAAACAGAAAACUAUUAGCUUAUCUUGAUUUUCCCACUAUAUUCAUUUUCGAUGCUUUUCAAACGAGAUUCUUUUAAUUCUUCUGGUGUCUGCAGCCCCUGCUCUUCUUAUAGAUCUCCAUCCCACAUCUGCACUACGAACAAGUUGAUUAAAAUUAAAUAAUGUUGGAGACGUGGGGUGAGCCGUCAACUUGGUAAAAAAACUAUGUAUAAUAUUGUUAAUAAUAUAAAAUAUAUAGUAAUAAUUACAAAGAAUCAUAAAUUAGAAAAAUUAAUUAUUUUACAAUCUAUUUCUUAAGUAAGAUAAAUCUCAUAAUAAGUUAAGUUAUAAUGUAAAAAGUAUUUUCAAUUUAUAAUCAUUUAAGAAGUCAUUUAACAAUAAAAUCUUUCUUUUGAUCAAUUGGUCAUGCUACAAAGUAUCAUCUAUAUUUGUGGUGAUAUUAUUAUUACUCCGUAUUCUCAAAAAACAUGAUUUAACAUUUAGAGAAAAUUCAUGCCUUUUAAAAAGAACAUGUAUGCAACAACUACCAAUACUUUAUCUUACCACAACAAAACUAAUGGUGACUAAAUCAAUUUUCUUGAUUAAAGCAAAAUUUCUUAAAAUUGAUUUAAUGCACAAAUAUGAUGACUUUUUGCAAAAAUUAGUUUCGGAAAAUAUAGUGAGAGAAAAUAGUGACGAUUAUUGUUUAGAUGUGUAAAUAGCCUAAACAUGAUCGCUAAUACCAAUAUCCACGUGCAUCUUAACACCUUUCGUGAUAUUCUUUCAUUCAUGGUCACUGGUUCAAGAUUUGAAUUUAAUCAGUAAAUCAUGUUCAAUAAUAUUAGAGAUCCCAACAAUUGAGUACCAAUUUAAAUCCUAAUGCUAUAUGUCAUUGACCAAUAUUGUGUCAUUUUUUGUUAACUGGGUGAUGAAUUUCUAGUUGAUAAAAUUACUUAAAAAUAUCUUAAAAAUCAGACAAUAGUUUGCUUAAUUUUUUGAAGCUAACUGCUCAAGAUGCUCUAUUAGAAAUGAUAACCUAAUUAUAUACAUAAAAAAUGAUGUAUUUUUUGCGGUGUUGAUAGUGAGAUUAUCAUUCAACAUGUUAAAAUAUGAAAACAUAUGGAAGAUGGUUGUAAAUUGGUUGAAUGAGAAUAUUUCAGUGAAGUCUCAAAAAUUUGGUACUUGUUAUCUUAUCGAAAGUUUUCUAAAUUAUAUUCGUGGCACUGCCACUGCUUCUAUGUGAAGGUCAUUAAAAUUUGUGUUAGCUACCUAUAGGUUGAAUAACAAUUUUAUUCAUCAAUUGUUGCUCAAUAUAGCAAUUUGAUUGAAAGUGCCGCUGCACUAAUUUUCUAGAUGAACUUUCCUACAUGUUUGUCCUCAUAUGACCUAGAAUGCUGCGAUAUCAAUUGUAUUGGAAAUUAUUCAGGUGGGUUAGUGCUCUACAUCCCCACCAAAAUAUAAGCAAUGAACAAAACAUUCCUUGUGGAAAUAAACUUAAUUAUUUCGCUACUAGACUUCUAAUGAGGCCCAUUUUCCAGAAUCUGGAUACAAGUUAGAUGUCUCCCAAAAUAUUGGUGGGAGUAGACUAUAGUAGCACUCGACAACAUACUAACGACGCUAUGGUCCACCAGAAAGACCGGUCUCCGGUCAGCCGAAAAAUCUCACGUUCAGUCUCUUCUCAAUCUCCCUUCUCCCAGCCAAGUCGAUCCCGUAACAUGAUACUAAUCCACAGUUGAAUACAUGAUACUAUUAGAUCUUAUUUGAGAAUAUAAAGGGAUCUUUCUAAUUUGAGAACAUAAAUUGCCCAAUAAAGUUGAACUACGUUACCCCGCUCCAUGCACAUACAUUAAAUGUUAACAGCAUGCCAAAACUUGAUGUUGUCAUAUUCGACAUUUCAAAUUAAUAUGCAAGCAAUCUUCGGUGAACAUUACGUUUUUAUUGAAUAAUUUAAAUGGCUAGUAAAUCUAGAGUUCUUGAGCUUUAAUCUAAAUCAAAUCUAUUAUGACUCAAUGUAUUUUUUUGUAUUCGUACCAGUAAUGCAGGGGAUUAUUUACGGAACUCUUAUUAUUGACUGAUAUGUUCACCUUCAUCCAAUUAGAGAAAGAGUGACUGUAGAGGUGGCAAAAAUACCCGUCCGGUUCGGACCCGGACCGUACCCAUUACCCAGCCCGGGUAUGAAGCCGGGUCGGUCUUGGGUAUUACUUGAUAAACCCGGAACUCGGAUUUUAUUAAAAAAAUUAUAAAAUAUAUAUUAUUUUAAAUAUUUUAUAUUUAUUUGACUCAUUUAUUAUACAUAUAUAAAGUUUUAAACACUUAAAGUAUAUAUUUUCUUGUCAAAUUUUAUUGAAAUAAAUUUAAAACUUAUAAAAUUACUAAAAAAUAAAAAAUAUAUACACAUAAAAUAUUAAAAAAUAUAAAAUUCGGGUACUCGAAUUAAAACCCAGCCCGAACCCGGACCCAGACCGGUUGCAUCCGGUAGGGUCCGGUCAUGGCAAUACCCUGACCCCGCCCGGGGUUUUGCCAUCUCUAAGUGACUGGGUUCCUAUAAAGGGACUCUUAACCGUUACGAGAGUAUUCAGACUAAAAAUCUUUAUAAUUAAAUUCAAAGGUGAAGAUCUAUGCUUAUUAUCUAUUUAACAACUAAUAUAUAGUUAUCUAUUCAUUUAAAUAUCAAGGGCUAUGCUAAUAAUUAAGUUGAAAUGUUGAUGAAAGUAGCCCUACAUCUGUAUAUUACUCAUCUACUCUAAUCUUUUUUUUUUUUUAACUUAAUGUACUUUUUCUAAUGUUGUUUACUCUUCCCCCCCCCCCCCUCCUCUGACAAAAUAAUAAGAGUUUAGACUUGAAAAUAUCUUAAAGAUCAAACAGUAAUUUACCUAAUUUUUUGAAGCUAACUGCCAAAGAUAUUCUAUUAGACAUUGAUAACGUAGUUAUAUACAUUUAAAAUGAUUUUUUUUUUUUGUGGAAAGGGAUUAUCAUUCAACAUUUUAAAAUAUGAAAACAUAUGGAAGAUGAUUGUAAAUUGAUUGAAUGAAAAUAUUUCAAUGAAGAUGGUUGUAAAUUGUUAUCUUAUUGAAAGUUUUCUAAAUUUACUACUAUUUGAACUUAGCCCUCCUGGUACCGCCACCAUUUCUGCUUGAAAGUCAUUUAAGUUUGUGUUAGCUGCCUAAAGCUUUUUUUUUUUCUUUUUCUUUUUGAAAAGAGCUGCCUAUAGCUUGAAUAACUAUUUUGCUCACGAAUUGUUGUCCAUUAUAGCAAUUUAUUUAAUUGAAAGUGCGGCUGCAAUAAUUUUCUUGAUGAACUAUUCCACAUGUUUGUUCUCAUGUGAGGCAGUUUUUCUAGAAGAUUGAUAUUUCUUUAAGUCUUUAACUAGCAAAGCAUACCAGUCCAAAGCUAGCCAAACCAUACCUGCUGGUCCAGGGCUUAAAUGGAGUACUUCUAAGCAUAAAACAGUAACAAAAACACAAUAUAUGCAUACAUACAUACCAGCAAAUUCAAAAUAGAAAAAAGAGUGCAACUAUUCAAGAAAUUGGUUAUUGUAGACAAACACACAUACAAACACAUACCAGAAAAUUCAAAAAAUAGAGAAAGGAGGCCAACUAUUCAAGUUUGUAGACAAUAUUGCAAUCAUGGCAUUACUUAUAGCAAGUCCUUGAAAUCUACUAAACAAAACAAUGCUCUGUCUCAUGAAUCAAUGUUGAAUUACAGACGAAAUUGAAAGUCUAGCAGGUGUUGUUUCCCUCUUCGAUUUUGCCUACACAAGUAAAGGGAAAUAAGAAUCAUAAAUGAAAAUCAGCUUUUACAGUUGUAAUUAUUAGAUAGAUCUAGAACGAUCUUUCUUUGUUUCUCUGCUGCAAUGUGCUAUCCCACUCUGUUUUGCUACUAAAAUUGAGUCUAUGUUGAGACAUAAUUUCGACACUAGGAGCAACCGCAAUUAGUUUGGCAUUGCAUUACCCCUUGAAGGUUUUACAAUAGUUGUAAACUUACCGAGAAAGUAGAAAAAAAAGGGCAUAUGGAAUUAGGCAAGUAACUAAAGUAUGAGUCAUCAGAUAUGAUUAAAACUCACCCAAUUCAAUCCAUCAGAUUCCGUAAGGAUAUAACUGGAUGUCAAAACGCCACUCCAUAUCCUCGAACGUCCGUACCCUUUGCCGCAACUCUGUCUGGGGCCAGUGUAAGUCCAAUUUGCGCAAGCUCUUUAUGCACCAUAGCUCUUCUGGAAGCUUCCUCAAGUAAGCACAUGGGUUGACAAUUAAGCUUUCAAGUUUUGGCAUUGCUCCUGCCCCCAUCGUCCACUCAUCUAGCCAAUACAUUGACUUUAGGUGCAAAAUCUUAAGUUCCGGAAAGCCACCAGAGUCAACACAGGCCAACUUUCUUCCUAAAUACGAGUUCUUCUUCAGUUUCAGCACUUGAAGGCGUGGAAGCUUUUCCAGCUUUGGCAUGGGAUCCUCCAUUAGCUCAGUAUUUGAUAAGCUCAGAUGGCUCAGACUUAAAGGAAAUUCGUAUUCAGACAGGACAAUCCGUGAGAGCUUGCUCUCAUUCACUAGUUCCAAGCAUUCAAUUUUGUGGAGUUCGCAUACGCUUUUGGAAACCCCAGAGUGAUGGCAACUCAAAUCUCCAGAUAUCUGAAGCGUUUGAACAUUAGGUAGUCUGCCUAAUAUAUCUGGCGUGCAACUACUAGGGUGUAAGGAUGAUAUGAAAAAAAGAUUUUUCAGAGAGCUGGAAUAAUUUUUUGGAGGUGCAGGCAGAGUGAUGGAACCAAAGUUCAGAUGCAUGAGUUUUUGCAUCUUCCAAAUAUCCUCUGGUGUUUGAUCUACGUAGCUAGAUGGCAUGUCUAGUGUUUGAAGGUUUGAAAGGGUGCAUAGCGGUGAAGGAAGACAUUUGAGCGAAGGGAUAUUCAAUUUCAAAUACUUCAAAUGGAAUAAAUUUUCUAAUCCGGGUGGAUAUUGGUCCAGGACUGCAGAACCCCUGUUCAAUACCCGAAGGUGUUUGAACAUUUUACAAAAAUUCUCGCAAUCUAUCGGAUUAAGAUGAUCGCUUUCUGAACUGUAAUUCAGAAAAGAUUGAUUAGUUCUUUCAAGUAAUGUUCGGCCGUCCCCUCACUGUUGUAUGGUAUGAAACCUUCAGCUACCCACAACUAAUAUAAUUGUGUGGUAGAUAUCUGAAUGCCUGGAGGGAAGACAAACAAAUAGAUGCAGCAGACUUUCAAGUGAAAAGGUAACUCCAUCACAGAAUAAAUUUGUCUCCAAGCUGUCGGAAUCGCUUCGCCUUGAAAAUAAUUUUCUAAUGGCAUACUUCCGUAGUGUAGGACGAAAAAUUGCAAGCCUUCAAACUUUAUUCUAAUCAGUGGUCCUCCAACGAGCACUGAAUCAAGCCGAAUCUCCUCUGCGUUUUCCAUUUCCAACGACGUAAGGAGUCUUGGAUCAGCGACCAAUAUCAAUACUCUGCUUCCAUUCUGAUUAUCAGGAAGAACUUCUUCAAGAUCAUCCCAUAUCUCACUGUCAUCGAAGACAUCAUCAAGCACAAUAAAGUACUUACUGUUUGUUAGGUAAUCUCGAAGAAUAGAUUUCUUCAAUUGAUAAUCUUCACCGAUAAUUACCCUAACCCGAGCUGGAGGCAUCACAGACUUGAUUAUGUCAUCCAAUAUCUUGCCAAAAUCGUAGGCAAUAGAAACCCUGACCCAAGCAAGAGUCAAAAUAGAACUUGACAUGAUUAUUGUUAAAAGUAUCAGCAGCAGAAGCAGUCUUAUCGAAGCCACUGCUGUCGAAAAUUGCAACCACUGAUAUCGAUAGAUCAAACAACUUCUCUCUGCCCUUUUCAAAUUCACUGAUAUCGAGCCGAGGUUGUCCCUCAUUCAAUAGGCGAAUGAUUUUGUUACUUUGUUCACUGAUAUCAAAACCAUUGUCGCCGGGUGGAAGUUGUUGCAUCUGAUUUCUAAUAUCAAAGUGAAAAAUUGCUGCUUUCACUUUCGUUUUCACUGUUUUGCUGCUGCAUGAUGUUGAUAUUGACAUAAUUUUAUUUUAGUUUUUGGGGAAAAAAAUAUUUGUUGACAAGCAAGAAAAUAUUUUUAUAUUUUAAAUUUAUUAUACAUAUUUUAUCAUUUUAAAGUAAUUUUAAUAAUAAAUAGAAACAUAAUAUUACGAUAAAUAAAUUAAAGUUUAAAUUAUUUUAAAUAUUAUAAAAAAUAAUUCUAAUAUUAUUAAUAGGAAGACAUUUUGUUAAUUUUAAAAUUUUUUAACCCAAAGGUUUAUUUAAAAUUUUUAUUAUAAAUAAAAAUAUAAAAUUAAAUAUCAUAAUUUAAAUUUUUUAAUAUUAUUUAAGUAUUAAAAAUAUUUUAAUGUUAUUAGUCUACUACAUAGAUCAUAUUACUUAUAUUAUAUUUGUAAUGAUUAAAAAUUUUUAAAAUCAAUUUUCUAGUUACUAUAUUCACGAGAUAUUAUGGUUAAAGAAAAGACCUUGGUGUUACUUUUUACAAAUUUGAGUGCCUACAUGAUAAUUUUUUCAAAAUUUAAGAAUGUAUGUAUCCUUUUCUCCAAUAAUUUAUUUCACUUUUGAGGGGAAUCCAAUGAGAGAUAUGAUAAGAGAACGUCAAUUAGUUGUCAUUUUCUACUUUUUCUGUAAGCUAUUUAUUUUGAGCAUUAGUGAUCUUGUCUGGACUACUCCAAUUAUUGAUGUAACUCCAGUGACUGCAUCCACAAUUGAAUAUAUGAUAGUGUUAGCUCUUAUUUGAGAAUUUAUAUAGUCUUGCUGUUAAAGAACUCACUGAGGCAUUAUUGAUUCAAUUUCAGUGGAGCAAUCGCGGGUGAAGGAUAAAUAAAGGAUCAGAACAGAGCUGAAGUGCUAAAUUGGCUAUUGAAGAAGGAUGUCACAUGAUCACAAUCACAUUGAUGCACAACUCUCUGGAGGCAAAUUUUGUCUUUAUGUACUCUAAAUUCAGCCAAACCAUACAUGCAUGAACAAAAAUUAAACCGUCGUUCUAAUCACAACAGUAAUUGAAGCUCCAAAAGCAAGAAAAUCUGAACAAAGACUUAAAAGAAAGAUCUUAUUCAAGUUUGUCCCCAAAAGACAGCUGAAAUGAAAAAUAUUGACUAUUGAAUGGAUCAAUGCUGAAUUACAUUUGAAAUGGAAAGCUUGGCUGCAUCUAUGAUGUUUCCCCCUCUGAUUUUCCCCCAAAACAAAUUUAGUUGUAAACAAUAACGGAAGCAGCAAUAAUUUAUUCACCAAAGAAAAUGCCCAAGAUUUCAACUAACAGAUCCUCUUAUCUAAACUAAAAGAACUCAUAUCUCUAAAAUCUACCCGCAAAAUGUUGGAAAUGAGGGAUGAUCUGUCAACUCGAUAAAUAAACUCAUGCAUAAUAUUAACAAUAAUGGUAAAUUACAUAAUAAUUAUUAUAAAGAAUCAUAAACUGGAAACACUAAUCAUUCUACAAUCUAUUAUAUAAGUAAGAUAAAUCUCAUGAUAAGUUAAGUUAUAACGUGAUAAAUAUUUUCAAUAUAUAAUUAUUUAAGAAGUCAUUUAAUAAUAUAUAUUUUUUAUUUUGUUGAUCAUGUCAUAUAGCGUUAUCUAAACUCCUGACAAAAUUAUUAUUACUCACUUUUCUCAAAAAAACAUGAUUAACGUUUAGAGAAAAGUCAUGCCUUUUAGAAAGAAUAUGUAUACAAGCUAUCCAUACUUUAUCUUACCGUGACAAAAUUGAUGGUGAUUAAAUCUAUUUUUAAAAUAGAUUUAAUGCACAAAUAUGAUGACUUUUGGCAAAAAUUAGUUUCGGAAGAUAUAGUGGUAGAAAAUAGUGAUGAUUAUUGUUUAAAUGUGUAAAUAGCCUAAGCAUAGCCCGUAAUACCAAUAUCCAUUUGCACCUUCAUUUGGAUUAUCACAUUUCAUGAUAUUUUUUCAUUCAUGUCCAUUGAUCAAGAUUUGAAUUUGAAUAUAAAUUAAGCUGCAAGGGAGCUUACUUCGGUUUCUAAGCUUUCCAAUUGUGAUUCCUGCAUGCCUUGCUCUGAUACUAUUUUGUUACAUACCAAUGUAACCAACCUUGUAAUUGGUCUGUAUAAGAAAUCAAGCCCUUUUAGAAUCGUUUUCUUUUGUUUCCCCAUUGUAGUAGUCAACUAAAUAAAGAAUGAACAACUGAACUUGAUCUAUUUUGAUGAAGACCAAGGCCUUCAAUACUAGAUGAACUUUGAAGAAGAUUAAUCUACUGCUUUUAUUCAUCUUUGGACUAUGAAUUUAUACAAAGACUUUAACAGAAAAUAACAAAGACACAACUAAAUGAUAGCAACAAGUGUUGACUUACUGGACCACUUCUACAAGUAAAAAAAAACUAAAUAUUUAUUUUGACUAUAACAACAACUACCCUGAUGAACAACACUCCACAGCAGCCACGUGACAACUAAUUUCUCCUUAAUAUUAUUAUUAGUAGAAGUAGAUUUUCAAACUAGUCUUGAUAUAUUUCAAAGUUGUAUUAACAAUUUAUAUGUAUCUAGAUUGUAACUAUAUUUUUUAAAAAUAAAAUAUUUUAAUUAUUGCACAUUAAAUGUAGAAGAAUAUCUGUAAAAUAAUAUUAUUAGGACUAAAAAAUAUUAUUUUAGAUAAGUUAUUUAUUUAUUAUUGAAUUAAUAAUUUAUUAAUUAUUAGCAGAAGUAUAUUUUCGAACUAGUCUUGAUAUAUUUCAAAGUUGUAUUAACAAUGUAUAGGUAUCUAGAUUGUAACUAUAUUUUUAAAAAAUAAAAUAUUUUAAUUAUUGCACAGUAAAUGUAGAAGAAUAUCUGUAAAAUAAUAUUAUGAGGACUAAAAAAAUAUUAUUUUAGAGAAGUAUUUUUUUAUUAUAGAAUUAAUAAUUUAUUAAUUAAUUUAUAAAUGAAUAUUUAUUAAUUUAAAGAGAGACUUUUUUGGUUUUAUGAAGAGUAUGUUUGGUACAUGUUCACACUUAUAAAGAAACACAAAAAAUGCUUCCUCAAGUCAACGGUAUUUGCUUUAAUCGCUACUGUUCAUAAUAAUAUAGCUUAGUUAGGAAAUUUGUAAUUAUAAUAUGACUCUUUUAGUACAACUUUUCAAGUAGAGUUUAUUUAGGUAGAGAUUUUGUUAGGAGAGGUAUUAUAAAUAGAGAUUUCACUAAAAAAAUUUAAUUAUUUGAUUAUAAUAUCCAAAUUGAAGAACUUUUGUUCUUUUGUUAACAUCUGUUUGUUUUACUUAAUAAUAAAAGUUUAGUUUACAAUUACACCGGUGUCAAAUCAGCAGAGCAUCGGCAAGAGUUUUCGAUUGUUGCAAUUUGCAAUGCAUGCGGUACAUGCACGCACUAAUAAAGAAACACAAAAAGUGCAUUCUCAAGCCAAUAGUAUUUGUUUUUAAUCGCUACUUUGCAUAAUAAUGUAGCUUAGUUAGGAAAUUUGUAAUUAUAUUAUGCCUCCAUUUGGUAUAAUUUUUUAAUUAGAACUUAUUUAAGGAGAACUAUUGUUUGUAGAGUUUUUAUAAAUAGAAAUUUUAAUUAAAAAAAAUUAUAAUUAUUUAGUUGUCAAUGUCCAAAUUGAUGAACUAUUGUUCUUUUUGUUAACAUGUGUUUGUUUUACUUAAUAAUAAAACUUUAGUUUACAAUUACACCGGUGUCAAAUCAGCAGAGCAUUUUUGCAGCCCGUCACAUUAUACAUUAUACUAAUAGCAUCGGCAAGAUUUUUCGAUUGUUGCAACUUGCAACGCACGCGAUGCGAGAAAAUGAGAAUCUUGUUUAAUUGUGAAUAAUGACAAACCUAAUCCUUUCAUUAGGAGCAAUUUAAUAAUCGUUUGUUAUAAUUGAAUAGGUAUAAAGAAAGGACAACUCUAUUCAUAGAUUCGGCUUAUUUUUUGUUUAAAGUAAUUAAUCCUCUAAAACUGAAUUUUAUUUUAUCUGGUGCAUGUUAAAUGAUGUGAGGCCUAAUUUAGGUUUUUGGUUAGCGAAUCAAUUUCAAAGUGUGCUUAAACGGUAUAGGACUUUAUUUCCUGGUCCAUACAUUACUCUGUUAGCUAUAAACCUAUGUGUGCUUGAUCCCGACAAUAAUGAUUUGCAUCCUGCUUGCAAAAAGGAAUUUUUGGAUAUGUCUGUGUUUGAAAGAACAGGUGUGGUCGAAUUCAAGAAGGGGAGAUUUUAGUUUACUGAACCAGGACCCACUCAACUUCCGAAGAAGCUUUAUGCUAGGAGUGGUGCUACCUCUGAUGACGAGUUUGACGACGACACUGCUGCCCCGCCAACUAUUCCUUCUACAUCCGCACCACCUUUGAGCAUUCAGUUAGAGAAAAUGGAGCACAAGCUGAACAAGAUGGAGCAGAAUUUGGCCGCAUACUUCGAGAGUGUGGGAUUUACCCCACCAUUUUCGCCAAGCCCAUAGACGUUAUGUGGAUCAAAGCUCACAAUUCAGGGAAGUUUCUUUUUGCCCUUAAUCUUUUAUCCUUACGCUUUAAUUUUUAUGUGAGCUUUGAUUAUCUUACAUUGGGGACAAUGUAAGUUCUUGGUGUGGGGGAGGGAUUUUGAUGUCUGGAAUUAUUAUUUUCACUCUACUCAUAUAUUUUCACUCUACUCAUCCUUAAAUGAUUUUGGAGUUAGUAUGCUUCAUACAUUAUUAAUUUUCUUUUCCUCUCUCUCUCACUACUCUUUUCCCAUCUAUCUCAAAUUAUUUACAUCUAUUUUUAUUCUAUCAUACUCUUUCAUCACUCACAUUUUAUCUUUCACUUUUCAUAUUACUACAUACAUCUUUCUCACUUCUUAUCAUUUUUACAUUUUCUUUUAUAUAUCACUCAUACCUUCUUCUCAUUCUACACCACUAUUGAUGGUUGAUUCAUUUGAAGAGUGUACAUGAUUUGAUGGCAAAUUUACCAACUUUGUGAGGAUUUGAGCCUAUGAGCAACCACUUUGCUCUAAUAUUUUUGUUGUGUGAAUAUCAAUCUUAGUUUGUUUAUUGUAGAACUUGCUUUGUUAUGCAUGUUGAAGCCGCAUUACGGGAUUUUAUGCAUUAAAAUGAUAAGGGCAAACCCUUUUCCAUUUUUCUAUUCUCGCAUUUUUUUUUCUCUACCCGAAGACCUUUAUUUGCUAUCUUUGUUUGAGCCUUAACCAUUACCCACCUAAUUUUCUCCGUCUACUUAACCAUUUUUCUUCUUUUUGAGCCUCAAUUUACGGAGAUUUUUGGACUCAUUGUGUGGAUGUAUUUUGUUGCUUUUUCUACCUUGUAAUAAAGUUUCUCAAUUAGAUCAACAAGCAUUAUGCUUGAAUUAAAUUGUGCAAGGUUCGUUUCUUUUGUUUGAUUCAAAAAUAAAAAAAAACAACAAAAAAAAAGAAAAAGAAAAAUCCAAAAAAAAGAAAAAAAAAUGUUUACAUUCUUGGUGACUUGAGUAGAAAUAAGUAUUUUGAUAUCAUAAGUUCAUUCAAUGAGUUCAUUCUUCUCAUUUUGAUCUCUUUUUCUUUCGUAAACCUUUCUUUUUCAUUCAACCUAUUUAACCCCAUUACAACCCUUUUAAGACCCUUAGAUUUUUGCAUUUUAUUCAUGUUUUGUGGAUUGAGAUGUGAUAUAUGAGCAAGCUUAUGGUAAUAGCAUUCUUUGAUUUGAUUUGAGUGAAUAAAUGACACCCUAAACACUUUGAGUGCAUGGAGUGAAGUUAUUGAGAGGGCUAUUAAAUCUUGUUGCACUUGAAUUUUGAAUGGAUCUUCUUGGUGGUUGAAUGUUCUUAUUCUAUCUUAUGAAAUUCUAUGCUUUAAAAUCCUUGUCUCUUGAAUGUUGAUCGACUUAAUUUCUUGAGGUAUGCUUGCUUAAAAUUGUUUUUGGAUGAGUUGAGAUGAGAAUUGAGUGGAGAUUUGAGAUUAAUCUUGAGUUAUAUGCUUGAGGACAAGCAUCAUCUUGGUGUGGGGGAAUUUGUUAGAGUGCAAUUUAUGCACUAGUUUUGCAUUGUUUACUUCCCUUAAUAUCGAUGUUUUACACUUAAUAAUAGUGAUUUACUUGUGUUUUACUUUUGUAGGUGCAAUUCUAUUGAUUGGUGAUAAAAUUGAGCUAUAAGAUGAUGUUUAAGGAUGAUUGUUCUCUUGGAGAAAUUAUGAGCGGCAGAAGAACUUUGUUGAUAAGGCGUGGGCGCGUGCUGUCAACUGCGGACCUGCAGUUUUUAGUUUAACAUGUUUUGUAUUUUUGUAAUUACGAAUUUAAUAUUUCAGAUAUUAGUAUUUUAUUUUAAAUAGAAUUCUAAAAGAGAGGAGAGAGAGAGAGUAUUUAAGGGAGGAAUCUAUUGUGAAAAAGGGGGAUUUAGAUUGGAGAAAAGAAAAUAAACCCUAAAUCUAAUUUUUCUCUUCUCUCUAUGAAGAACUAAACUUAUUUUUUCUGGUUGAAGGUUAAUGAAGCUUUGAUUCAUCACUACUGUGAGAUCUUUUUUAUGCUUUAAUUGUUUUAUUACUUUUUGGGUAAUUGUUUAUUCUCUGAAUUAGUUUCAUGAUUAUGUUUGUUAAUUAGGUAAUUGGCCACUAUUUAAUUAUCAACUUAAUCUAUUGUCAAUUAAAGGAUUCAUCGUAUGAAGAUUUUAAUGUUUGUGACAAAUAACAUAGCAGUGAGUUGUGUUAUGAGAAUAAACAAUCUAAUUUAAAUGAAUCAUCAUAUGUGUUGAUUAGGAUUUGGAUCUCUCUGGUUUUUCAGGCUGUCAAUUGAUUAAAUCCUAUGAUCGUAUCUAGGGUUGUCUAUUGAUUAGGGAAAUAUCCAACGGUCGUACCUUGGUUAUCGACUAGUUAAGGAGAGAUUGGCUAUUAGAGGGUCUCAAUAGCUAUAACCGGUCUAUUCAUAAGUAAUAAUAAUCUAUAUUUGAAUCAAUGAUCAGUAGUCGAAUCAAGCUGAGUUAAUUCCUUCAACCAGAGCUUUCUCUAAUUUGAAUUACAACUUUAAUUUGCAUUCUUGUUAUUUUAAUUUGAUUUUUAUUAUUGUCAACAAUUCCCCCAUUUUACUUUUUACGUUUCAAAAGGAUUUAAAUAAUUACCGAUCUCUGUGGACACGACCCUGCUCAAUCACUAUACACAAUUUAUUUAGAGUAUGAAUUUAUUUUUGUUGGCUUCGACAACCAUCGGUAGUAAAAGAAUUUUACUCCAAUUUGGUAAGCCCUGGUCAGCACAACAUUUGGGUAAGAAACUCACUUGUUCCAUUAGACUCUCGAGUUAUAAAUGUUUUUUAUAAUUUACCUGCUGAAAUUAAUUGUGAGUAUGCCAAGUUGCUUGACAAAUUGACCCCGCAACAAUGGAACACGAUUUUCACGACACUUACAGUAGAGGGUGCAUCGUGGGCUAAUGAGGACGGGCGUGUAAUUAACAGGAUAGAUUUAAAACUCAUUGCUAAGGUGUGGGUGAAAUUUCUGAAAUCUAGGCUUAUGCCAACCACCCACACCACUACUGUUUCACAGGAAAGGUUGGUGUUGUUAGAUGCUAUUGUUAGAGGGCUUCCCAUAGAUGUGGGAAGUAUUAUCGAAAAAGAAAUUCGAGUUUGUACCAUGAAAAACCACAAGGCUGCUGCCUUGUUAUUUCCUUCACUCAUAACCAGCAUAUGUAUAGUAUCAGGUGUUCAUCUUGAUGCAAAGGAUGAAAUUUGUAAUUAUAUUAUGGCUCCAUUUGGUAUGACUUUUUAAUUCGAACUUAUUUAAGGAGAAUUUUUAUUAGUAGAGUUUUUUAUAAAUAGAGAUUUUACUAAAAAAAUAAUUAUAAUUAUUUAGUUGUCAAUGUCGAAAUUGAUGAACUAUUGUUCUUUUUGUUAACAUGUGUUUGUUUUACUUAAUAAUAAAAGUUAAGUUCACAAUUACACCGGUGUCAAAUCAGCAGAGCAUUUUUGCAGCCAGUCACAUUAUACAUUUUUGCAACUUGCAAUGCAAGCGACGAGAGAAAAUGAGAAUCUUGUUUAAUUGUCAAUAAUGACAAACCUAAUCGUUUCAUUAGGUGUAAUUUCAUAAUCGUUUGUUAUAAUUGAAUCUGUAUAAAGAAAGGAAAAUUAUAUUCGUAGAUUCGACUUAUUUUUUGUUUAAGGUAAUUAAUCAUUCAACCAUCUUCAUUUGCCCCUGGCCACUGCCCUUGUAGAUUAGUUGAAGCGUUAAUUACUUAAUUUAGAUAAUUACAACGUCCUUUUCGCUAAUUAAUUAUGAUUAUAUACGUUUUCAUAUAGCAAGUGGCAUUGUAGAUCUAAAUUAUGUUGCUAUUUCAAUACGUUAAUUAAGUGAUUCUCCUCAUUGUCAUCAAGUGGAAAAUAGCUCAAUUGUUUCCCUGCAUCGAUUUUCAUUGGUAAGUGAUUUCUUAUGAUAUUCGUUUGAGCUUUCCUUAUUAAAAAAGCUUGAGCCUUGAUCACCUAAUACUGAUAUCAAUUUACUUGUGAACGAUUUUGUAAUGAAAUUAGGAGUUAAAUAUAUAAGAUUUUUACCUGAUGAAUUUUGAUUUUUUUUUUAAUUUUUUGAUGUAGUCAAUUUGCGAAUUUUAUAUGUUUCAUAUUCAACGGAAUUUGGGCACGGAAAGUUUGGAUUCUAAUAUUUAUAUAUUUAGCUUUAAUCAGUUUGACUUUAGCAAUCUUUUUCCCUCAUCAUUAAGGGAUUCAGAAUUAGAGAAACGCUAGGAAGAGGAAGAAAAUAACUUUGGAAAUAAGUAAGGGGGAAAAAUUAUGAAAUUUUGAAUUAUUUUUUGUAAAAUAUGUUGCGUUUACUAAACUUGAAUUAGAAUGAGCUGAAAUUAGAAUGAUUAGGAAUGCAAAUGUGCUGAAAUCGGAAUAGGUAAUGAGAAUAAGAAUAAGUUGUUUACUUGAACUGUAAAAAUCAAAAUCGAAAUGAGCUGAAUUGCAAUUACUUUAUCUUGGAAGCGGAAUUGGAAUCGGAAUGAGUUAGAUUGUAACAAAUUACUAAAAAGUACUUAAUGAAUUAUUGUCAUAAUUAUUAUUUUAUAUUUUAAUUAUAGUGAUUAUUUAUUCAAAAAUUAUUAUUAUUAAUUAUUUUCAAUAAUAUAUUAAUAUGUUAAUUAAUUUUAAAAAUUAUUAAUUAAUUUAUUAUAAUAAUAUACUAAUUAAUUAUAAUAAUUAUAAAAAUAUAUUAAUAAUAAAAUUACUAAUUUAAUUAUAAUAAUAUAUGAAUUAAUUAUAAUAAUUACUAAAUUAAUUAUAAUAAUUAUAUUAGUAAUUAUUAUAAUAGUAUAUUAAUUAAUUAUAAUAAUAAAAAUAUAUUAAUUAUGUGAUUAUUUAUUCAAAAAUUAUAAUUAUUAAUAAUUAUUGUUAAUAAUGUAUCAAUAUACUAAUUACAUAUAAUAAUUAUUAUAAAAAUAUAUUAAUUAUUAAUAAUAAAAUUACUAAUUUAAUAAUAAUAAUAAUAAUAUAUUAAUUAUGUGAUUAUUUAUUCAAAAAUUAUAAUUAUUAAUAAUUAUUGUUAAUAAUGUAUCAAUAUAUUACUUAAUUAUAAUAAUAUAUUAAUUAAGUAUAAAUGAGGACAAAGGGGGUAUUUUUAAUUUCACGUAGGGGCAAAAUGGUCAAUUCUAGUAAUGGGAGACUCACUCCCACCCUCUCCCUUGGGAAUGAGUCUCCCAUUCCUCAUUCCCAAAUUGUGGUGGGCCCCAUGAUUUUGACUCUGAUUUUUGACUCAAUUUUGCGAAGUAAACGCUACUAAUGAUUCUGAUUUUGGAUUCUGAUUCACUUAUCCGAGAAGUAAAAGCAACAUAAAUGUGUAUGAAUAAUUGAUACCUAUGAAUAGUUUUGGGAGUUUUAGUUAGGAGUCAUUUAUUGAAGAUGUUUAGCAAUUAAAGAUCUCUGACUCAGUAGUUUUCCCAAUCAAAAUCAAGAAGCAAAACAACUUGCCAUUUUUCUACUUGAUAAUUAAUUGAAAUUUAAGAAAAUACAAUGGCAUUUCAAUUAGAAAUGGUAAUUGUUUAUCUUUUUUCAUUGAUCAAAUUCUAAUCGUGAUCCAAUAGUUAUGGAUGAAGGAAAUAUUAUGAGAGGCGAUAGGCCAAGUGAAGACGUACCAGCAAAUUCAAAAUAGUCGGGAGGUGGACGUCCAGCAUAUCUCCUUCUCUCUGUAGCACCCAGAUGUAUUGUUAUUUGCUCCAAGAAAUGUUAAAAGGAUUGGCCCUAUCUCAAUGUGGUUAGUGGUGAAAAAUUAAACACCAUGGAAGGAUUUGCAAGGAAUAUGCCAAGAAACUGGCUAAGUUCCACAAAUAUGGCAUUAUUGCUCUUUUUUUUUAAAGAAAAAUUAUACACGUUAAUUUAGCAAAAAGUCUAAGACACAUGCCUUUUGAAAAGAAUAGCUAUUACCAUGACACAAUCGAUGCGGCUGAAACCAAAAUUUUCUUUUCUUAAUGUAAAGAUUUUUUUUAAAUAGAUUUUAAUAUUAAAAUGCCCUUCGAUGUUAUUACUGUCACAAGCCCUGUAACAGGAGUAAUAAAAAUUUUUAGAAUUUGUUGGGCAUGAAAAAAGUAGUAUUAAACAUCAGCAAGCAAAGGUUGUUCUGUUAAAGAAUUGAUAUUGACGUGAUUUUAUUUUGGUUAUCGAGAAAAAAAAAUAUAUUUGUUGAUAAGUAAGAAAAU
rnacentral:lncRNA from 1 species